UGCGUCAUGAACACAGCAUAAAAGCUCCUGCUGCAGCAGGCUCAGCAUCGUCUUUGCGUCCUUCAUUCUCCUCCAGAAACGAGCUUUGCCUCCCUCAGCGAGAAAUGUCGUGCUGCAGACCCUGUGUCCCAUCCCCCUGCGGUGCCUCUGGCCCAACCCCACUGGCUAAGCAGCUGCAGUGAGCCAUGUGUCGCCCGCUGCGCUGACUCCACUGUGGUCAUCCGAGGCCUCCCCUGUGGUGGUGACCCUGCCGGGCCCCAUCCUCACCUCCUUCCCUCAGAGCACAGCCGUGGGAUCCUCUCUGUCAGCUGCUGUUGGCAGCUCCCUCAGCACCGCAGGGCGUUCCCAUCUCUUCUGGGGGCUCCCUUGGUCUGGGGGGCUCAGGGUUGUGUCUGCCUCGCCCGCCCUGCAGUUUUAACUGCUGAAGCCGAUGGAUCAUCCCAUUUGGACAACACAUCCUGGAUACGGAUGGAUCGUGCUCUCAACCUCCCUGUAGACUGAAAGCAUGAUUCUUCCCCUCUGUACAGAGCCACUUUAGCUUUUCCUUCUCAUUAAAGACUUUGUGCAGCAUA